rnacentral:lncRNA from 1 species
CAUAAUUAAAGCUUUUAUCUUAAGGCAAGGUGAGUGACCAAAGUGGAUCUACAUUUAACAUCAGUAUUACUUGGGCACAAUAAACAAACACUAAAAUGAUGGAUUCUAUAUGAAUUUUCAUAUUUUUCUAUUGUAAUAGCAAACACUUUAUUGAGGUUUUCAAUUGCCAGUUCAUAAGCAGGUGUCAGACUGACCCACAUAAGAAUAAUGUAUAGAACUUGCUAAAAUAAAAGAUUUCUGCUUCCUAUACCUAGCAUUUGUGAUUCAGCAGGACUGGUGUGAGUUCUAUGAAUCCCUAUUUUAAUAACUCUUCAGAAUUUUUAAACACCUUAGAUGAUAUUAAUAGAUUACUUCUGUCCACCUUUUACUCUGUACUUGUAAGGAAUGUGAUGGGGUUCAGGGCAGGCCUCCCCAAGAUGCACCACUCUGGUAUGUGGACUAUUUCGAGCUGAAUACAAUAAAGACUCAGAAGACUCAGGAAGAGCAUCCGACCGACCUUCCUGCCCCCAAACUGCCUGAAAGACUUUAACAGAGAAGGCCUGUUCCAGGAAGGAGCUCAUACCAUGUGAUAGCUAUGGCAUGAUGUAAAAUAGGUGUGAUAAAAGGACACCUACAAACCCAUUUUCUUGGCCCAGCAAAACCUGUUUAACUAACAUUUGCAUUCCAUCUCUGUGUAGAUUGUCUUACUCUACUUUGAAGCCCCAAAUCAAUAUCCCCAGUGUCCUCCUUGUCUGUAGGUAAAGAUAUUUAAACAGGCAGCCUUGGCCAGAUGGUUGAGUUGCUCAGUUUCUCCUGAGUUUCUCCUGUGUAUACAUGCUGUUAAACUGUUUGAUUUUCUCCUGCCUCUUUAAUUAUUUGACCAGCCAUAAGAACCUUCAGGAAGAGUCGGGGGGUUGGGGGGGUGGUGUGGAUUCUCCCACCUCCCCAACAACUGUUUUAAGCCAGAGCUCUCUGGAAGACCUCACACUGCUGUCCCGGACUCCAAGUGCCCCCGAGCCUCACGACUCUAUGCUUAGGGGGCUACCUCUUCGUUGCUGUGACUCGGUGGAAGUUGGGAGCAGUUUGUCUGCUCCUUGCAUCUCUUCAGGUGGCCAAGAGGAGAACUCCUACCCCAUCAGGACUGCUCCAGGAACUAAGAAAAGGCCAUGUGAACACACAGCAAAAUGGGGGCCAUCUGCAAGACAGAAAGAGAGUUCUCACCAGAAACUAAACUCUACCAGACCUUGAUCUUGGACUUUCCAGCCUCCAGAACUGUGAUAAAAUCAAUUUCUUUUGUUUAAGACACCCUGUCUAUGGUAUUUUGUUAUGGCAGCUUGAGCUGACUAAUACAACCCCCAUCAAACAUCAACACUUUCAAAGGCAAAACAUCAUUUAUUCAAAGAAGAUGUUAUUUGACAAAAUUUUAAAAGAACACACAACAAACAGCAUAAAUUGACGUAGUGUGGAUAAACAUCAUUUGGCGUCCCUUGGCUUCUGAAAUCUAGAUACAAUUGUCUUCAAACCCUUCUUCCCGCCUUUUUGCCACGGGAAGACCACAGUCCACACGGAUGUCUGCACAUCCCUUGAAGGAGGAGGAAGACAUUUCCUCUAACCACUCUGGAUCCUUCUGGCCAGAAAACGAAUAAAAUUCACAUGAGACAGAAUAACAGAAGAAAAUUAAACAAAGCUUUAUAACAUGUAUACAUGGGAGAGACUCAGGCAAACUCAGCUACUUGCCAAAAUGGUAGAAGCUCUCACCUUGAACACCACCCUCAGGAGUGGGCCUUUGUGAUCCUGUGUGCCCCUCAGAAUCCUCUCUCUGGGUUAAGGAAUUGAGCUAAUGUAAAAAAAUUGGAUCUUCUCCCUAGGAAUAUGAAACUGGGGCUCAGAAAAUAGAGAAUACUGUCAGACACCUCAAACGAGAAUGAAGAGUUGCAAUUGCAGGAAGAAAUAUGAC